rnacentral:tRNA from 1 species
UCCUGGUCAGCUGAAUUGGUAGGGCACUCCACUGGAAAUGGAGAGGUUCAUGGUUCGAUACCAGGACCAGACA